UACAGACGGCGCAAGCGUUAUCCGGAAUGAUUGGGCGUAAAGCGUCUGUAGGUGGUUCGCGAAGUCUACUGUCAAAUCCCAGGGCUCAACCUUGGACAGGCAGUGGAGAACUCGCGGACUAGAGUACGGUAGGGGUAGAGGGAAUUCCCGGGUGAAGCAGUGAAAUGCACAGAGAUCGGGAGGAACACCAGAGGCGAAGGCGGCGACCUGGACAGGUACUGACACUCAACUACGAAAGCGUGGGAGCAAACAGG
rnacentral:rRNA from 1 species